rnacentral:rRNA from 1 species
AUUGAACGCUGGCGGCAGGCCUAACACAUGCAAGUCGAACGAGUGGCGGACGGGUGAGUAAUGUCUGGGAACCUGCCUGAUGGAGGGGGAAAACUACGGGAAACGGUAGCUAAUACCGCAUACCAUCAGAUGUGCCCAGAUGGGAUUAGCUAGUUGGUGGGGUAACGGCUCACCAAGGCAACGCGCCCUAGCUGGUCUGCGAGCGUGAACAGCCACACUGGAACUGAGACACGGUCCAGACUCCUACGGUAGGCAGCAGUGGGGAAUAUUGCACAAUGGGCGCAAGCCUGAUGCAGCCACGCCGCGUGUAUGAAGAAGGUCUUCGGGUCGUAAAGUACUUUCAGCGGGGAGGCGUUACCCACAGAAGAAGCACCGGCUAACUCCGUGCCAGCAGCCGCGGUAAUAC